rnacentral:tRNA from 1 species
AUUAUUUAUUUUAAUAUAAAAUAUUCAAUUUCGGUUUGAAAGAUAAUUUUUUAAUUAAUAAUUUA